GAUGAACGCUGGCGGCGUGCCUAAUACAUGCAAGUCGAGCGAACAGACGAGGAGCUUGCUCCUCUGACGUUAGCGGCGGACGGGUGAGUAACACGUGGAUAACCUACCUAUAAGACUGGGAUAACUUCGGGAAACCGGAGCUAAUACCGGAUAAUAUAUUGAACCGCAUGGUUCAAUAGUGAAAGACGGUUUUGCUGUCACUUAUAGAUGGAUCCGCGCCGCAUUAGCUAGUUGGUAAGGUAACGGCUUACCAAGGCAACGAUGCGUAGCCGACCUGAGAGGGUGAUCGGCCACACUGGAACUGAGACACGGUCCAGAAUCCUACGGGAGGCAGCAGUAGGGAAGCUUCCGCAAUGGGCGAAAGCCUGACGGAGCAACGCCGCGUGAGUGAUGAAGGUCUUCGGAUCGUAAAACUCUGUUAUUAGGGAAGAACAAAUGUGUAAGUAACUAUGCACGUCUUGACGGUACCUAAUCAGAAAGCCACGGCUAACUACGUG
rnacentral:rRNA from 1 species